UACGGAGGGUGCAAGCGUUGUUCGGAAUUAUUGGGCGUAAAGCGCACGUAGGCCGCUUUGUAAGUCAGGGGUGAAAUCCCACGGCUCAACCGUGGAACUGCCCUUGAAACUGCGAAGCUUGAAUCCUGGAGAGGGUGGCGGAAUUCCUGGUGUAGGAGUGAAAUCCGUAGAUAUCAGGAGGAACACCGGUGGCGAAGGCGGCCACCUGGACAGGCAUUGACGCUGAGGUGCGAAAGUGUGGGGAG
rnacentral:rRNA from 1 species